GACGAACGCUGGCGGCGUGCUUAACACAUGCAAGUCGAACGAUGAAGCCCAGCUUGCUGGGUGGAUUAGUGGCGAACGGGUGAGUAACACGUGAGUAACCUGCCCUGGACUCUGGGAUAACCCCGAGAAAUCGGAGCUAAUACCGGAUAGGACCUUUCCUCGCAUGAGGUUUGGUGGAAAGUUUUUCGGUUUGGGAUGGACUCGCGGCCUAUCAGCUUGUUGGUGAGGUAAUGGCUCACCAAGGCGUCGACGGGUAGCCGGCCUGAGAGGGUGACCGGCCACACGGGGACUGAGACACGGCCCAGACUCCUACGGGAGGCAGCAGUGGGGAAUAUUGCACAAUGGGCGCAAGCCUGAUGCAGCAACGCCGCGCGGGAUGACGGCCUUCGGGUUGUAAACCGCUUUUAGUAGGGAAGAAGCCUUCGGGUGACGGUACCUGCAGAAAAAGGACCGGCUAACUACGUGCCAGCCGCCGCAGUAAAAC
rnacentral:rRNA from 1 species